rnacentral:lncRNA from 1 species
AUGAUGCCAAUUUUCAAAAUUUUAUUGCCAGCAGAGAAAUGUUUCUUGAAGAACUGUUGGGUUUUGCCAUCUGCGUUCUCAGUCCUGAAGAUAGUUUUCUUACACUUCAUCACUGCACAAGAAGUUCAAACCCUGGAUUUAAAAGAAAAGACAUGUCAUAAACUUCAAGCUCCCAGAUUUUCUGGCAUCCAUGGACUCUUCUGUCUGCACAGCAGAGGAAUUGCACUGGUUCUGGAGGAGUUGUUACAGAUGUACACUGGCACGAGUGGAAAGAAGGAAGUUGCUUGGGAGUUCUACCCAUAUAGGAA